rnacentral:rRNA from 1 species
UGGGGAAUCUUGCGCAAUGGGCGAAAGCCUGACGCAGCCAUGCCGCGUGAGUGAUGAAGGCCUUAGGGUUGUAAAACUCUUUCACCGGGGACGAUAAUGACGGUACCCGGAGAAGAAGCCCCGGCUAACUUCGUGCCAGCAGCCGCGGUAAUACGAAGGGGGCUAGCGUUGCUCGGAAUUACUGGGCGUAAAGGGCGCGUAGGCGGAUCAGCAAGUUGGGGGUGAAAGCCCGGGGCUCAACCUCGGAAUUGCCUUCAAAACUGCUGAUCUAGAGUACGGGAGAGGUGUGUGGAACUCCGAGUNUAGAGGUGAAAUUCGUAGAUAUUCGGAAGAACACCAGUGGCGAAGGCGACACACUGGCCCGUUACUGACGCUGAGGCGCGAAAGCGUGGGGAGCAAACAGGAUUAGAUACCCUGGUAGUCCACGCUGUAAACGAUGAUUGCUAGUUGUCGGCAGGCAUGCCUGUCGGUGACGCAGCUAACGCAUUAAGCAAUCCGCCUGGGGAGUACGGUCGCAAGAUUAAAAACCUAAAUGAAUUGACGGGGUCAUAGCUGUUUCCU